rnacentral:rRNA from 1 species
CCUACGGGGGGCAGCAGUGAGGAAUAUUGGUCAAUGGGCGCGAGCCUGAACCAGCCAUGUCGCGUGAAGGAUGACUGCCCUACGGGUUGUAAACUUCUUUUAUACGGGAAUAAAGUGAGGCACGUGUGCCUUUUUGUAUGUACUUUAUGAAUAAGGAUCGGCUAACUCCGUGCCAGCAGCCGCGGUAAUACGGAGGAUUCGAGCGUUAUCCGGAUUUAUUGGGUUUAAAGGGAGCGUAGGUGGGUUGUUAAGUCAGUUGUGAAAGUUUGCGGCUCAACCUUAAAAUUGCAUUUGAUACUGGCAGGCUUGAGAGUAGUUGAGGUAGGCGGAAUGCGGGGUGUAGCGGUGAAAUGCUUAGAGAUCACGAAGAACACCGAUUGCGAAGGCAGCUUACGAAACUGCUACUGACAUUGAUGCACGAAAGUGUGGGGAGCAAACAGGAUUAGAUACCCGAGUAGUC